rnacentral:rRNA from 1 species
CUUAAAGGAAUUGACGGGACCCGCACAAGCGGUGGAUGAUGUGGUUUAAUUCGAUGCAACGCGAAAACCUUACCCACCCUUGACAUGUACGGAAUCCUUUAGAGAUAGAGGAGUGCUCGAAAGAGAGCCGUAACACAGGUGCUGCAUGGCUGUCGUCAGCUCGUGUCGUGAGAUGUUGGGUUAAGUCCCGCAACGAGCGCAACCCUUGUCAUUAGUUGCUACAUUCGGUUGGGCACUCUAAUGAGACUGCCGGUGACAAACCGGAGGAAGGUGGGGAUGACGUCAAGUCCUCAUGGCCCUUAUAGGUGGGGCUACACACGUCAUACAAUGGAUGGUACAAAGGGUCGCCAACCCGCGAGGGGGAGCCAAUCCCAUAAAGCCAUUCGUAGUCCGGAUCGCAGUCUGCAACUCGACUGCGUGAAGUCGGAAUCGCUAGUAAUCGUGGAUCAGAAUGUCACGGUGAAUACGUUCCCGGGCCUU